rnacentral:rRNA from 1 species
UGUGAAGGAAAGGUGAAAAGGACCCCGGGAGGGGAGUGAAAGAGAACCUGAAACCCUGUGUCUACAAGCUGUGGAAGUACUUUAUAUGUACGACCGCGUACUUUUUGUAGAACGGUCCGGCGAGUUACGCUUACUGGCAAGGUUAAGCACUUCAGGUGUGGAGCCGUAGGGAAACCAAGUCUUAAUAGGGCCAGAGUCAGUAGGAGUAGACCCGAAACCGGGUGAUCUAUCCAUGUCCAGGUUGAAGCUGCCGUAAGAGGUAGUGGAGGACCGAACCCACAUCCGUUGAAAAGGGUGGGGAUGAGGUGUGGAUAGGGGAGAAAUUCCAAUCGAACCCGGAGAUAGCUGGUUCUCCUCGAAAUAGCUUUAGGGCUAGCCUCGGUGUGAGUCUUGCGGAGGUAGAGCACUGAAUUUCCUAGGGGGCGUCAAAGCCUACCGAAGAAUAUCAAACUCCGAAUGCCGUGUAGAUAUCACCGGGAGUCAGACUGCACGAGAUAAGUUGGGCGGUCAAAAGGGAAAGAGCCCAGACCUACAGUUAAGGUCCCAAAGUGCGCGUUAAGUGGAAAAGGAUGUGGGAUUUCGAAGACAACCAGGAUGUUGGCUCAGAAGCAGCCAUACAUUCAAAGAGUGCGUAAUAGCUCACUGGUCGAGAGGUCCUGCGCCGAAAAUGUCCGGGGCUGAAACGCGCCACCGAAACUAAGGAAUCUGAAAAGAUUGGUAGAGGAGCAUUGCAUGCGGGAAGAAGCAGUACCGUAAGGAGCUGUGGACUGCAUGGAAGAGAGAAUGCCGGAAUGAGUAGCGAGAUAGAGGUGGGAAUCCUCUAGGCCGAAUAUCCAAGGUUUCCAGGGUAAAGCUGAUCUGCCCUGGGUGAGUCGGGACCUAAGGUGAGGGCGAGAGCCGUAGCCGAUGGACAACAGGUUGAUAUUCCUGUACUGCAGUAUGACAGAACUGUGGGGACACGUAAGGAGAGCGGGAGCCGGGAAUGGAAAGCCCGGUACAAGCGAGGUACCAGUAUGGUAGGAAAAUCCGCCAUGCAAUGGGAAGACGUGAUGUGGAGCGAAGAUUAGUAGCGAAGCCCGUGAGCCAUGCGUCAAGAAAAGCCGCUAUUGUUCAUAUUGUACCCGUACCGUAAACCGACACAGGUGGAUGAGGAGAGAAUCCUAAGGCCGGCGGAAGAAGCAUUGUCAAGGAACUCGGCAAAAUGACCCCGUAACUUCGGGAGAAGGGGUGCCUGCGAGAGCAGGCCGCAGAGAAUAGGCUCAAGCAACUGUUUAGCAAAAACACAGGUCUAUGCGAAACCGAAAGGUGAGGUAUAUGGGCUGACGCCUGCCCGGUGCUGGAAGGUUAAGAGGAGAGGUUAGCGCAAGCGAAGCUUUGAAUUUAAGCCCCAGUAAACGGCGGCCGUAACUAUAACGGUCCUAAGGUAGCGAAAUUCCUUGUC